AUCUAAGGAAGGCAGCAGGCGCGAAAAUUACCCAAUACUAAUACAGUGAGGUAGUAACAGUAAAUAACACAGCCCAGCAUUUCAUGUUGGGCUUUUGGAAUGAGAACAAUUUAAAUCCAUUAUCGAGGAUCAAUUGGAGGGCAAGUCUGGUGCCAGCAGCCGCGGUAAUUCCAGCUCCAAUAGCGUAUAUUAAAGUUGCUGCAGUUAAAAAGCUCGUAGUUGGAUUUCUAGCGAGGCACGAGAAUAUCCACCUAUGGUGAAUACUUCUCUCGCCUUGCUCUUCUUUAGUUGAUGUCUCUGGCAUUAAGUUGUCGGAGUCCUGAGACUAAUCGUUUACUGUGAGAAAAUUAGAGUGUUCAAAGCAGGCUUAUGCCGUUGAAUAUAUUAGCAUGGAAUAAUAAGAUAGGACUUCGGUACUAUUUUGUUGGUUUGCGUACUGAUGUAAUGAUAAAUAGGGACUGGCGUGGGUAUUCGUAUUUUAAUGUCAGAGGUGAAAUUCUUAGAUUAUUGAAAGACGGACGACUGCGAAAGCAUCUACCAAGUAUGUUUUUAUUAAUCAAGAACGAAAGUAUGGGGAUCGAAGA
rnacentral:rRNA from 1 species